GGGUUGAGCAUUCUCGGGCUGUGCAAGUUCGGUCCGGGGCGAUAAUACGAAGCCACUCUUUUCACAGGGCAAUAAUGUACGACCCUAUAAUUCGCGUCCACUAAUCUGAGUCCCUUGGCUUUCAAUUAUCGGGCUGCGCAUUAUUGGUACGGGUCGAGAAUGCUCGACCCAAUAAUGUACAUCCCAAUAAUUGGAAGCCAAAAACCAGAGACAUUUUUUUUUUUAAGACAGCUGUCAAAAUUAGUAGGGACGUUCUGACAUGAGCUCUUGACAGUUUAAAAAUAAUCGGUUUUUUCUAGUGACAUCUUUCAAUGAUAUUGACAGUGUUGACACGUGUUGGUUUACAUUACGCUUUGUUAUCAUCUUUUUAUUUUUAAUGUAUGGUUUUCAAGAGCUCUAAUACUUGUAAUGUAUGCAUGAAAUCAUAUGGCAAGAGAACCUAAAUCGUUUUGGAACUAUAUGAACUCUAAAAGAAACAGUAGAGACUACAUGAGGGAAAUACAGCAGUAUGUAGAUUAUGAAGAGCACAGAUUGAAUCCAGCAGUGACAUGGGCCAUUUGUUCAAUAGAAUAUCUUGGUUAUAUGGAGAUUGGCUGAGAAAGCAAGGUGUAUGCUACAAGGUGCAGGUUUCUGCAAAAUAUAUUAGGGAGCUGAUACAGGCAGCCAGAAUGAGUCUGCUGGGUCGCCGGCGCCGGACGCGCGACGCGCGCCUCGGACGUCUGACGUCUUCGUGUCUCUCGCCAGUUGCAGGGGAAGAUGCGAAUAGUUAUAAGGCGUGCAUGACGUCGCUAAAAAAUGAUAGAUAUAAUACUAAUCUUGUUGCCCGAGGUAUUCCUCAAGUUCACGGGGUAGAUUACAGGUGUAGUGCAUAAUCCUUUACCAUUUUGACGACCACUCUGGCCUAGUAGGUAGUGAUCCUGCUUAUGAAGCCGAUGAUCCUGGGUUCGAAUCUCGCGGUAACGGAAUUUAUUUUAGUGAUGAGUACAGAUAUUUGUAGCUGAGUCAUGGAAGUUUUCUAUGUGGGAAUUAUUCAAUUUGUGUAAGAAUAUCCCUUUAAUACUUGUUUAUUUAUUUUUCGUAUUUUCUCGGAACGU